CUAAGUUUGAUGGCGACCGGCGCACGGGUGAGUAACACGUAUCCAACCUGCCGAUGACUCGGGGAUAGCCUUUCGAAAGAAAGAUUAAUACCCGAUGGCAUAGUUCUUCCGCAUGGUGGAACUAUUAAAGAAUUUCGGUCAUCGAUGGGGAUGCGUUCCAUUAGGUUGCUGGCGGGGUAACGGCCCACCAAGCCUUCGAUGGAUAGGGGUUCUGAGAGGAAGGUCCCCCACAUUGGAACUGAGACACGGUCCAAACUCCUACGGGAGGCAGCAUG
rnacentral:rRNA from 1 species